rnacentral:rRNA from 1 species
AACGAACGCUGGCGGCAGGCUUAACACAUGCAAGUCGAGCGGACCUUUCGGGUUCAUCGGCGGACGUCUGAGUAACGCCUUGUAACGUGCCUUCCGUUUCCUAAUUACCCUGGGAAACUAGAGCUAAUACCGGAUCCGUCCUUCUCUGUAAAUGUUUAUCGCCUGUAGAUUGGCGCGCGUCUGAUUCGCUAGUUGGUGGGGUUACGGCCUACCAAUGCGAAGAUCAGUAGCUGGUAUGAGAGGAGGAUCAGCCACACUGGGCCUGAGACACGGACCAGACUCGUAGAGGAGGCAGCAGUGGGAAAACUGGGACAACCAGUGCGCGCAUGAGAAGGCGAUGCUAUGGAAGUGAGACUGGCCUUAGGGUUGUAAAGAUCUUUUAUCCUGGACGAUCAUGACGGUACCGGAGGAAUAAGCACCGGCUAACUCCGUG